GAUGAACGCUAGCGGCAGGCUUAACACAUGCAAGUCGAGGGGCAGCGGGGUGUAGCAAUACAUCGCCGGCGACCGGCGCACGGGUGCGUAACACGUAUGGAAUCUGCCCUUUACUGGGGAAUAGCCCGGAGAAAUCCGGAUUAAUGCCCCAUAACAAGCGAGGUGGCAUCACCUUGCUUUGAAAGCUCCGGCGGUAAAGGAUGACCAUGCGCACGAUUAGCAGGUUGGUGAGGUAACGGCUCACCAAGGCUACGAUCGUUAGGGGGCCUGAGAGGGUUAUCCCCC
rnacentral:rRNA from 1 species